AGCCCAGACUCCUACGGGAGGCAGCAGUGGGGAAUAUUGCACAAUGGGCGAAAGCCUGAUGCAGCAACGCCGCGUGAAGGAAGACGGUUUUCGGAUUGUAAACUUCUGUUCUUAGUGAAGAAUAAUGACGGUAACUAAGGAGCAAGCCACGGCUAACUACGUGCCAGCAGCCGCGGUAAUACGUAGGGGGCAAGCGUUAUCCGGAUUUACUGGGUGUAAAGGGAGCGUAGACGGCGAUACAAGUCUGAAGUGAAAGCCCGGGGCUCAACCCCGGGACUGCUUUGGAAACUGUGUUGCUGGAGUGCUGGAGAGGCAAGCGGAAUUCCUAGUGUAGCGGUGAAAUGCGUAGAUAUUAGGAGGAACACCAGUGGCGAAGGCGGCCUGCUGGGCUUUAACUGACGCUGAGGCUCGAAAGCGUGGGGAGCAAACAGGAUUAGAUACCCCUGUA
rnacentral:rRNA from 1 species